rfam:Triticum aestivum genome assembly, contig: Triticum_aestivum_CS42_TGACv1_scaffold_641953_T_6DL-0.310195_6AL-0.231859
AAAAUACUCCCUCUGUCCAAAAAUAUUUGUAGAAGAAAUGGAUGUAUCUAGACGUAUUUUAGUUCUUGAUACAUCCAUCUUUAUCCAUUUCUCUGACAAGUGUUUUCGGACGGAGGGAGUACAAU